AUAAUUUAGACGUGAACAAAAUUUCGUUUAAUCUAAUUCCACAAGUUCAAAAAGUAAUUUAAAACAAACCCCAAUCAUUUUACAACCCUCCCAUCGCCGCUCCUGACAUUUCCACCACACCCCACAGUGUGCUCUUAAUAUCUUAAUUAAUGGGAGGAUCCAAAACUAAUCACAACUCACAAGGAUACAACACAAAUGGCCACAAACUCACACACUGGACAUUACCUCACAGAUCUGCUUAAUGGCUGAUAUUGUAGUUAUGCUCAGUUAAGACCUGAACACUAUGUUGUGUAUGAAAUGACAGACAAAGGUUUGUUUAUCAUUCAGAGAUUAUGUUUAUUAUGUGCAUAUGAACAGGAUACAUUAACAGCAAAAUAACAGCAGGUUUUAGUAGCACAGAAGCUGAAAUAUGAAUGUUUGAUCACUUCAAAGUACAAAUCAACUUAAAAACUGUGUACAGUGUUGUGCUCUGUAACACACCUCAUACACAAACAUCAUUUAUCUCCUACCUCUGAGAGGAGGCGGUACUGAGCUUCCACAGAUCACAGGUUGUAAUAAUGUCAAGUUAAGUAUAUAAAUGUUCACAUUGUUACAUUCAAGAUCAAAUCUGCACACAUUUAAACAGGAGGUCAGGAAAUGUUUACAGCUACAGGAAGAAAAGAAAAACAUUCAAGAGUAACACGUUUAAACUUUAUCAAUAAACAAACUGAUAUAAAAAUUAAAUAAUAAAUAAUCUUGACGUGUUUAAACUGAAGAGUCUCCUUCAUGGAGGAACAAGUUAAGGCUUCAUAGAUCAGAGGAGGAAACAUGUGACUCUGCAGCUCCAUGUAACACAUUUCUCUUUGGUUUCAUAAUAAUAUCAGAUUAUUCAGUCACUCAGUUCUAGCUGAUAAAUGGACCCUGAGCACUUUGUGUUGUGUUUGUGUUGUCAGUCAGUGUCUGUAAUUAUUGUGUAACAUCUAAACAUGAGGAUCAGUCUGUGAGUCUGACCUUACAAACAGCUGAACCUGAAGAUGAAACAAACUCACUGAUUCUGAUAUUGUGACAGAGACAACGCUGAA